GGAAGUACAACGCAUACACACAUUCGCUAUAAAGCAUUUUCGGUGAGAAACCCGUCAUCAUUCGUGAUGAUGUGAGGUUUCCACGACCUUGAGAAUCGUCAGUCGAAAUGGAGAAAAAAAAAUGAUCGAUCUUGGGUGCGGCGCUUUCUUUUUCACUAUAGAAAGGGUCGCAAUGAUUGGCCAUACAU
rnacentral:sRNA from 1 species